rnacentral:lncRNA from 1 species
AACCAUUCUAUGGAGGUUAGGGCUUCGGCUCUAUUCUCCUGUUACUGUCUGUACAACUUUAACAGGGCUGACUCUACUGGCUCUUACAGGCUCCCUUCGGUGAAUUCUGAUCACCACCAUGAUACUACCAGGAACACAGCAGCCUGAGUCUUGGAGAGACAAUGGAAGGUUCCAUCAUGCGCAGUAGGAAGACUCCUGUCACUUGUCAGCAGACUUGACUUUCAGUAAACAGUUGGUGUCUAUGAAAAUCUAA